AAAUUCACAGGUGAUCACCUCAGUUACGGGGAUAGUAAUUACGUGCUAAAAAAGGCGUAAUAUAAUCCAAUAUUGGGAUCAGACGAAAGGUCAGAAUAUCCGAUGUGUCGGUAAUGACGUCUCAAGGGUGUGUUGCUUCCGUACAAAUUAUAAUUAGGCUUUGUUCUCGGGGCAGAAGUCAGCUGCCAUAUUCUGUUGUGAACUUGAAAAAUUGGUGAAUUUUGAGGUGCAUUAUAUCCUCAUAAUUACAUGCUAAUUAUUAUUAUUCGCCCUCGAGACGUAUCUAUCGACAUGUGACAGGUUAAGACCUUUCAUUUGACUCUUAAAUCAGAAUUUUAUGUCUACUUUAUAAUUAUAAACAAAAAUGAACAAAAAGUUCAUGCAGACCGAGCCGUAAACCGGUAAAAAUCGAAAUCCAUUGUUUUUUUCAUUAUUUUAAUGGAAGAAUGGAUUCAUUUCUAAGCAUUGGCUAUUCGACUCAUCGCAUAAUCAUCCACACUAGUGAACAAUCGUGGGCGGACUCAAAUCUCAUGAAAAAAUAGAUGACACGCGUGCCCAUGAGAGUGCGCAGCAGUCACAGGUGAUACCUAACCUACCGCACAUCCCGUUCCGUCGUCCGUCCAACCAGGACGCCAUCAUCGUCCGUUUUGCAUUGUACAUACCUCGCUCCCGUGGUGAAUCACUCUCGAAAAAAUCCUUUGAAGUGACACCUCCGCAGCCCCUUCACACGGUACAAUCGCCACCCCAUCAAGAACGCCUCCACCAAACCUAGAAACAAUCGCGUACAAUUCCCGUGUAGGCGGGUCACCGAGAGUUUGAACACGAUCAUAAACUGGAGGGUGGAAAAGUAAAGACGAGGGAGAAAAAGAGAGUGAUGACUGAUAAAUCGAGUAACGGCGAUUACAAGUAUCAGAUGGACGAUGAGGGGGGUGGAACUGGGAGUGGUGGUGAGGACCAGCCGAGAAUACCUCUGGAGAAGGACCGAGACGAGAAGGAUCACCAGACGGACAAGGUUGGCGAGUACAUGAGGGAGUUGCUGGCCGAGAAACUUGCACUCGAUCCACAGAAGUGGCCCAAUGCCCUCCGCCUCAUCGACCAAGAGAUUCAGAAGACACAGGCCAUUGGAAAACCAGUUCGUGAUCCUAAGUAUGUGGAUAUCUACAGGGAGAAACCCAUCAGGGUGUCUGUCAAGGUGCUGGUUCCUGUUCGAGAGCAUCCGAAGUUCAACUUUGUGGGAAAAUUAUUGGGGCCAAAGGGUAACUCAAUGAAACGUCUGCAGGAGGAAACCAUGUGUAAAAUGGCUGUAUUGGGUCGUGGAUCGAUGAAAGACAGACAAAAGGAAGAGGAAUGCAGACAAUCCCUGGAUCCAAAGUACGCUCACCUCGCUGAUGAUCUACACGUGGAAAUAGCAGCCCUCGCUCCCCCCGCUGAAGCCCACGCUAGAAUUGCAUUCGCUCUCGCCGAAGUACGAAAGUACCUCAUACCAGACAACAACGAUAACAUAAGGCAGGAGCAGAUGAGGGAGAUGGAGCUCAGCAUGUCGGAUGAUCCCGGCUCUAGUGAUGAGAGACGACCGAGCUCAAGAUCUGCUGGGAUCCUGAGACCCAGCAGUCGACCUGCACCUCCCAGGUCCUCACGAGCCAUGCUACCGCCCCCAUCAUCUCGUGGACCAAUAACUCGUCCUGUCCCAGCAAAAACCAAGGUGUUUUCCAUUCUGGAUCGUGCCAGAGUGGCCAUGGAUCAGAGUUAUGGACUCUCCGGGGAUAGAUAUGAUGAUCCUACGCCACCUCCACCACCCAGUCGAUCUCACCACGAUUACGAUUACCAUGGAUCAUCCAGCAGCAGCAGUAGAUAUGAUCGACACUAUUCUCCGCCUUCUUCUGCUUAUAGAGAUGAUGUCUACUCCUCUUCGAGAUACAGCACGUAUGAUUAUGAUGAUGAUCCACCACCACACUCGUCUCAUGAUUACUAUGAAAGCUCUGAUUAUCCGGAGGAGUCAUCGGGCAGAGCUUGGAAAUCUUACAAGACAACGACAACCUCUGGUUCAGCGUCGCGCUAUCGCUCUGCCCCGUACACCCGACCUAGCAAUUUAUCAAGUUUUUAAUUCGUCAGCUACUUGAACAUAUCGUCGAAAGAAAAGUUUUUAAAAAUUAUUGAUAAAUAAGAGGUGAAACAUGAAGAGGAGAUUACAUGGCAGCUCCAAAAAACGUCAUCGCUCUGUAUGUAGCGAUAGUGAGGCGGCGAAG